CAUGAUGCAGAGACUCUUCUUGUGACACAGAGACCUAAAUAACUGCCUCUCUGAUCUCUCUCCUUUCUCCAAAGUAUUUGCAAUAUUUGGCUAUCUCUCUCAGUUAGUCAACACAUCGUUCGACAACUCUCAGCCAAGUCACCUCACACGGUUGUUGUGAAGAAAUAGAAAGAGGAAACCGCAUUAAGUAUGUUCACCACAGCAAGUUACUCAUAAAAAUAACAAAGGUUAGUGGCAUGAUCCUCUUCUGGAAACCUCCACAAAACAGCCAUUUUCAUUGAAUAUUGAUAAGAAGAGUUGAAAUUACCACCUAGCCCUCCAUUUGUCUCAACAAAUGCCCAAGGCAGCUUAUAUGCAGACCUCUCUUCAUGUUAUCCCCACAAUUUAAGCGUAGGCUGGGCUGAGAGGAAAUGACUGGCCUCAAGUUAUCCAUUCAUUUUCCAUCACUGAAGAUGAGCUGAACUUGGGAAUUCCUGAUCACAGGCCAACUCUUCAACUAUUGUACCACUUUGAGUCUCCCUGAUAGAAUCAUUUUUUUCAGUAAACUCAGAGCUACUUGGAAUUUGAGUUGCAGAAAUUAAUUUGUAAGUGCUCAUAAGAAUGAUUGU